UACGGAGGGUGCGAGCGUUGUCCGGAAUCAUUGGGCGUAAAGGGCGCGUAGGUGGCCCGGUCAGUUCGUGGUGAAAGCGCGGGGCUCAACCCUGCGUCGGCCAUGAAUACUGCCGCGGCUGGAGCACUGUAGAGGCAGGCGGAAUUCCGGGUGUAGCGGUGGAAUGCGUAGAGAUCCGGAAGAACACCGGAGGCGAAGGCGGCUUGCUGGACCUGGUCUGACGCUGAGGCGCGAAAGCGUGGGGAGCGAACAGG
rnacentral:rRNA from 1 species